GACGAACGCUGGCGGCGUGCCUAAUACAUGCAAGUGGGGACGCAAGGGAACACACUGUGCUUGCACACCGUGUUUUCUUGAGUCGCGAACGGGUGAGUAACGCGUAGGUAACCUGCCUAUUAGCGGGGGAUAACUAUUGGAAACGAUAGCUAAUACCGCAUAAUAUUAAUUAUUGCAUGAUAAUUGAUUGAAAGAUGCAAGCGCAUCACUAGUAGAUGGACCUGCGUUGUAUUAGCUAGUUGGUAAGGUAAGAGCUUACCAAGGCGACGAUACAUAGCCGACCUGAGAGGGUGAUCGGCCACACUGGGACUGAGACACGGCCCAGACUCCUACGGGAGGCAGCAGUAGGGAAUCUUCGGCAAUGGACGAAAGUCUGACCGAGCAACGCCGCGUGAGUGAAGAAGGUUUUCGGAUCGUAAAGCUCUGCUGUAAGUCAAGA
rnacentral:rRNA from 1 species